AUGGGGAAGGAGUGCCUUCCUACCGUCGCCAUGGUGCUAGUGCAGCUAGGCUUUGCCGGUAUGAACGUGCUGUCCAAGCUGGCCUUGGACACCGGCAUGAGCCCCUACGUGCUCAUUGCCUACCGUAAUCUCAUCGCCGGCGUGUUCCUCGCUCCCGGCGCUUACUACUUUGAAAGGAGGAGUGGCAUGGUGAUCACCAAGAAACUACUAACCCAGAUAUUCUUUUCCUCUAUUUUUGGCGCGACGCUGAACCAGGUGUUGUACUUCAUGGGGCUCAAGUCCACAACGCCGACAGUGGCGUGCGCGCUCAGCAACACACUCCCGGCAUUAACCUUUGUCAUGGCGGUCGUCCUCAAGAUGGAGACAGUGAGGCUCGGGACGCCCUCCGGGCAGGCCAAGGUUUUUGGCACCGUCGUGUGCGUCGGCGGUUCCAUGAUCAUGCCCUUCUACAAGGGUCCGCUACUAAAGGUGUGGGCAUCCCCGAUGCACUGGCGCUACGCGGAGCACGCGACUGACGCGACAGCACUUCCCAGCGGCAACGCCGCCAUCGUCGGUGACGCCGUCUGGUUCAUCCUCCAGAGCAAGAUGUCGGAAAGGUUCUCUGCGCCCUACACCAGCACGACGAUCAUGUCCCUGAUGGCCGGGGUGCAGUGCGCAGGCGUCAGCGCUGUCAUGGACCGGAGCGUGUCGGCGUGGAAGCUUGGGUUUGACAUCAGGCUAUACGCCGCGCUUUACGUCGGGGUGGUUGGCUCCGGGAUCGCGUUCACGGUCAUGUCGUGGUGCAUCCAGUCCCGCGGCCCGCUGUUCGUGUCCAUGUUCAGCCCGCUGAUGCUCGUGGUCGUGGCUGUGGUCGGCUGGGCCAUCCUCGAGGAGAAGAUACACGUCGGAAGUGCCAUCGGUUCUUCCCUCAUCGUCGCUAGGUUGUAUAUGGUGCUUUGGGGCAAGGGGAGGGAGAUGACCGGGCCGUCUGACCUCCACGGUGAUGGCGGCGGCACGGCUCUAGAGACCAUGAUUGUCCUGGAGCUCAACUGCAAGGAUGCCAGGAACGGAACACCGCCAUCUUGCCGGUGUUCCGUACUACCAGUCCCAAGCACCAACUUGAGACGAUCCCAAACGGCACUGACUGGUAGAUGCUGGUGA
rnacentral:rRNA from 1 species